UUUUACAAGAUUUCGGGGAGGAAAUCAUUCAGAUUUUGAAAGGAGCAUUUCUUCUCAGAAAAUGAAGGAUUCAUUGAAUACAGAUUCAAGAAUAUGAGGCCGAAUGGCAAACAGGGUAAGAAGAGGAAGCAUGCCAAAUCAGAUGAUCACAAACAAGAAGAUGUGAUAGUGGAUGAGGAAUUACUUCAAGAUGAAGAAUUACAAGAAAAGGUUAACUGAAAGAAGCACACAGUUCCCACUGCAGCAAAUAAGGGGAAAAUUAUCAAAUUUUUCAAAGACACUGCUGCUUAUUGUCAAAUGAUGCUAAAGAAGAGGACAGACAUGACCAUUACAGACUUCAUCACCACCUUUCCAAGGAUACAAGAGAUGCCAGAACUUAUCAACAUGGACUUUGAAACAGAACAUGGGCACCUUUCUGACAAUUUUAUUUCAAAGUGGGAGUCGUUCUACCGAGACCGUAUCAUAAAAUUAGGUUUGAGCGGGUAUCCAGCGGUAAAAGAAUCAAUUCAACAGUUUUGAGGAAGGAGACAACAGAGACCUGUGUGGUUUAACUGCACUGUUGCUGAUGUUACAUAAGCCACUGACAAAGACCAAGAACCCCACCUCGAGUUCAAGAGCAUCGCCGAGUUUGGAGCACUUCAUCCAGUACAGACCUAUUGGGACAGAUGUUCAAGCGACAGCAGCUGGGAAGUCUGCUGAGUUUCGGCAGCCCUAUAUUCUAGCCCUUGGACACAGACGCAAGCCACUACAAUCUUGCGGAUCGAACUACUUCUUCAGUUUUCAGCCAAUAUUCAUGAAAUUUGGCACAUACAUUGGUCUGCUUGUGAGGAUGUGCAGACACAUUUUUCACAAAAGUAACUAGAAAACAAGGUGAUAUCUAGUUUGAUAUUACAUCGCUGAGAGUGAUUUAUUAUUCAUGAGUCAUAAGCUAAAGAAUCAAGCAGAAUUUACAGGGUCUUGCAUUAAGACAUAGAGACAAAUUUAACCCUAAAUAGACUGGGGAGGAGGAGGGUGAAAGGCCCCCCCCCUUGAAUUUUUUUUUGCCAUAAAUCUGUCGAUAAAUCUCAUGCAACUUUUGAGACCAAAUUUGGGACGCCUGGGUAUGCAGUCCGAAAUUAUGCAUAAUUAUGUAGGUGCAUGUCAGUCCCAAAAUUGCUCAAAAUGCAAAUUCUGUUUGUAGCCAAAAUUCAUACUGUUCUCUUUACUUUUACUGAUUAAAAUCAAUUAAUUUCAUGUUGUUUAAGAUCAUAAAAUUAUUGUCAACAAUUUCCAUCCAAAAAAAGUUGAAAACAAAGAAAUACAUAUGAAAUUUCAAAAACAAUUAAAUACUUAAAACACUUUGAUACUGAUUAUUUUUUGAUGUGCAUUUGGUCAGAAUCUCACGGGGAGUCUCUAAAAAGAUUAGCGGUACAAGGGCCUUAUAAUUUAAAACAGUCAAAUUCUAAUUUCAUGCAUAAAUUAGGAUAAUUAAUAACAAAUUAAUUUGAAUAAUUUUGGAACAAUCAAAUAGUAUACAGUUUUGUAGAUUAAGUCAUGGGUGACGUGCAUGACUAAUUUCGAUUGCGUGAUCAACAAAGCCGAGAUUGGGGGGGGGGGCCUUAAGGGCAUUUAACCCCCCCCCCAAAAAAAAAAGUCUUUCCAUCCUCCAAAAUACUCCAGUCUGAUUAAGGUUAAACUUUCAUUUUCAUAUUUAUUUUGCUCUUUUUGUCUCACCUGGACAAAGUUCAGCAGAGACUUAAUCACGGUCCCUGUUGGUCUGUUAUUCUGUUACGACAAUCUGAAAGUUUUUGUUUAACUUGCUCUCAUUUCUUUAUUUCUGCAAUUUAUGAAUUUGAGUACACAUGACUAUAAUUAAUUAUGCCAUGAAAUUAUUUACUAUGACACUGAUUAGCGCUGAAACAAAACUUGCAUUGUAAACUCUUUCAAUAUUAUACAUUGCCUGGUCACUUAUCCCUUCCUUAUUAUAUAUGAUAUAACUUAUUCUGUGUAUUUUUAUGAAUUCAUAUCAAAUCACAGCACUUAAUAUCAUAAUUAUACCCCCGCCAAAUGAAGUUUGAAGGGGGUAUAUAGUAAUCAGCGUAUGGUCGGGCGGGCGAUCCGUUGCAAACCUUGUGGAUCAAACUACUUCCUUAUUUUUCAACCAAUACUUAUGAAAUUUGGCACAUACAUUGUUCUUGGUGUGAGGAUGUGCAAGACACAUUUUUCACAUGUGUCGAAAACUGCGUUGUCAUGGUAACGUCAUGUAAUGUCAUAAAAUUUGGUUAAAAAUCUUGUGGAUCGAACUUCUUCCUCAGUUUUCAACCAAUACUCAUGAAAUUUGGCACAUACAUUGGUCUUGAUGUGAGGAUGUUCAGGACACAUUUUCAUCAUGUUUCGGAAACUGUGUUGCCACGGUAACGGCAUGUUAUGUCAGAAAAUUUGGUAAAAAUCUUGCGGAUCGAACUACUUCCUCAGUUUUCAACCAAUACUCAUGAAAUUUGGCACAUACAUUGGUCUUGGUGUGAGGAUGUGCAAGACACAUUUUUCACAUGUGUCGAAAACUGUGUUGCCAUGGUAAGGGCAUGUUAUGUCAUAAAAUUUGGUAAAAAAUCUUGUGGAUCGAACUACUUCCUCAGUUUUCAACCAAUUUGGCACAAACAUUUGUCUUGAUGUGAGGAUGUGCAAGACACAUUUUUUACGAGUCGAAAAUCGUGUUGUCAUGGUAACAGCAUGUUAUUGAUGGGGCGGGGGUAUUAAUCACCUUCGGUGAUAUUUCUGGUUCACCUUAUAAUUGUACAGAAUAUUUAAUGUUUCUACUUUCAUUAUAUUGAUUGUACAAUGGUCUUCAUAAUCAUAUUACACUCUGAUGUGUAUUGUUGCAAUGUAAAUAAUUAUUUGAAAGCACUGAAUUUUGAAUGUUAACUGAAAUGUGUAUUGUUGCAAUGUAAAUAAUGCUUUGAAAGCAUUGAAUUUUGAAUGUUAACUGAUGAAAUGUUAUGAAAAUAAAGCUGUAAAAGCACCCAUUUCUU